CUACGGGAGCUCCAGUGGGGAAUAUUGCACAAUGGGGGAAACCCUGAUGCAGCAACGCCGCGUGGAGGAUGACGCAUUUCGGUGUGUAAACUCCUUUUAUAUAGGAAGAUAAUGACGGUACUAUAUGAAUAAGCACCGGCUAACUCCGUGCCAGCAGCCGCGGUAAUACGGAGGGUGCAAGCGUUACUCGGAAUCACUGGGCGUAAAGCGCGCGCAGGCGGCCUUUUAAGUUGGAUGUGAAAGCCUAUGGCUUAACCAUAGAACUGCAUCCAAAACUAUCAGGCUAGAGUCUGGGAGGGGAAGAUGGAAUUAGUUGUGUAGGGGUAAAAUCCGUAGAGAUAACUAGGAAUACCAAAAGCGAAGGCGAUCUUCUGGAACAGUACUGACGCUGAGGCGCGAAAGCGUGGGAAGCAAACAGGAUUAGAUACCCCCGUAGUC
rnacentral:rRNA from 1 species